AGAGUUUCGAUCUGGCUCAGGACGACGCUGCGGCGUGCUUAACACAUGCAAGUCGAACGAAGGCCCUGCUUUUGUGGGUGCUCGAGUGGCGAACGGGUGAGUAACACGUGAGUAACCUGCCCUUGACUUUGGGAUAACUUCAGGAAACUGGGGCUAAUACCGGAUAGGAGCUCCUGCUGCAUGGUGGGGGUUGGAAAGUUUCGGCGGUUGGGGAUGGACUCGCGGCUUAUCAGCUUGUUGGUGGGGUAGUGGCUUACCAAGGCCUUGACGGGUAGCCGGCCUGAGAGGGUGACCGGCCACAUUGGGACUGAGAUACGGCCCAGACUCCUACGGGAGGCAGCAGUGGGGAAUAUUGCACAAUGGGCGGAAGCCUGAUGCAGCAACGCCGCGUGCGGGAUGACGGCCUUCGGGUUGUAAACCGUUUUCGCCUGUGACGAAGCGUGAGUGACGGUAACGGGUAAAGAAGCACCGGCUAACUACGUG
rnacentral:rRNA from 1 species